rnacentral:lncRNA from 1 species
CGAAUGAGUCUUUGUUCUUCAAUUUGAAUCUUUUCUUCAAACUUCCGCAAUCAACUCUUCAAGACUCCAUUCAACUUUACGAAAUCCGCCAACCUAUAAAAUUCUUAACAAUCUCCCCCUUUGACGAUUUCGUGACAAAAUAUACUACAAUGCUUGUACACAACUCAGAAACAAUAAAAAGAAGAUCAUCGCAAUCACCAAACGACAAUCUCCUGCAUGAUCGAUCCAAUAAAUAAAAAAAUUAUAUUUUUCACAAUCUUAAUACAGACUCUAUGACUUAGACAUGGAGUC